GACAGAGGCCUCAAGCGUUAGGCGGAAUCACUGGGCUUAAAGCGUGUGUAGGCGGAUCGUUAAGUGCCUUGUGAAAUCCCACGGCUUAACUGUGGAACGGCUGGGGCAUACUGGCGGUCUUGAGCCAUCUAGGGGCGACUGGAACAAACGGUGGAGCGGUGAAAUGCGUAGAUAUCGUUUGGAACGCCAAUGGUGAAAACAGGUCGCUGGGGAUGUGCUG
rnacentral:rRNA from 1 species